CACCAAACAGAGGCUCUUUGGCUUCUUCUACAAAAUCGCAGCGCACAGCAAACGCGUGGCCGAGGAGGGGUCCCCGUUCGGCUUCCGUUACCAGCAUGGAGAUGUUCAGAAACCGCUUGAGUACUAAAACCAAUAGUAUGUACAGCAACGCCUUUGAAAAAGGCUUCUGUUAAGUGCCCUUCUCAGACAAGAAGAGCAUCGCACCUAAAGACGACCACGAUUACCAGAACUACCCCAUAGGCAAACAAAGCUCCUGCUAUCUUGGACCUCUUGCAAGUCACCAUGGAUAUGAAGACAACGAUGAGGAGGAUGAAGCACCCUAUUGCAUCAUGAAUCUACAAGAUAGUAGUUAAAGUCUCAACUGACCUUAUUGUUAUUGUUUUCAUUUAAUAUUUGAAAAGAAACUUCGAUUAAACAGGGGCGUAGCCAGGGGGUGGCCUAGGGCCCCCCCUUCAGCAGCCAAAAAUACAGUAAAUGUAUGAGACAUUAUCUAAAAUACAGGAAAAAAUGCCUUGAAAGUCCCUUUUUGGCCCCCUCCUGUUAAUAAUCCUGGCUACGCCGCUGUUAAAUCUCGAAAUAAACAUCUUAGAUCAAAGUAAAAUACUUCGUUCACCAAUCAUAGACCAUGGAAAUUGAUUAAUCAAACUUGGUAUUUUGCUAGAUGUUAAAAUGGCUGGCAGAGGCUGUUUUAGGUGGAAGCGUAAACCAGCGGUUUUCAGUGGGAACACAGAAAGCGGGACACACUGACAACAUUCAUUUUUUGAAAUACUUUGAGCUUGUCGAUACGAAAACAUUUUAUAAUAUUCUCGACAGUUCCAUUCAUUGUAUGAUUUUUAAUCAUUUUUUAAUUAUCAAAGGCCGACAUGAC